GNNCUCUUAGCUUUGUUCCUCCGGAGGUACUCUCCCACCCUUUGUGAACGUACCUCUGUUGCUUUGGCGGCUCCGGCCGCCAAAGGACCUUCAAACUCCAGUCAGUAAACGCAGACUCUGAUAAACAAGUUAAUAAACUAAAACUUUCAACAACGGAUCUCUUGGUUCUGGCAUCGAUGAAGAACGCAGCGAAAUGCGAUAAGUAAUGUGAAUUGCAGAAUUCAGUGAAUCAUCGAAUCUUUGAACGCACAUUGCGCCCCUUGGUAUUCCGGGGGGCAUGCCUGUUCGAGCGUCAUUACAACCCUCAAGCUCUGCUUGGAAUUGGGCACCGUCCUCACUGCGGACGCGCCUCAAAGACCUCGGCGGUGGCUGUUCAGCCCUCAAGCGUAGUAGAAUACACCUCGCUUUGGAGCGGUUGGCGUCGCCCGCCGGACGAACCUUCUGAACUUUUCUCAAGGUUGACCUCGGAUCAGGUAGGGAUACCCGCUGAACUUAAGCAUAUCAAUAAGGCGGAGGAA
rnacentral:rRNA from 1 species